rnacentral:rRNA from 1 species
UAAAACGUAGGAGGCGAGCGUUAUCCGGAUUUACUGGGCGUAAAGGGCAAGUAGGCGGCAGCCAAAGUUGGGCGUGACAGCUCCCGGCUUAACUGGGAGAGGUCGUUCAAAACUAGGCAGCUAGAGGGCAGGAGAGGGAAGCGGAAUUCCUAGUGUAGCGGUGGAAUGCUCAGAUACUAGGAGGAACACCAGUGGCGAAGGCGGCUUCCUGGCCUGUACCUGACGCUGAUAGGCGAAAGCUAGGGAAGCGAACGGG